UUCCCUGUGGUUCCGUGGUUAGGACUCUGCCCUUCCACUGCAGGGGACAUGGGUUCGAUCCUAGUAGGGAAA
rnacentral:tRNA from 1 species